rnacentral:rRNA from 1 species
CGCUAGUAAUCGCGGAUCAGAAUGCCGCGGUGAAUACGUUCCCGGGUCUUGUACACACCGCCCGUCACACCAUGGGAGUCGGAAAUGCCCGAAGCCGGUGACUCAACCUUUAAGGAGAGAGCCGUCGAGGGCAGGUCUGAUAACUGGGGUGAAGUCGUAACAAGGUACC